rnacentral:rRNA from 1 species
UACGUAGGGUGCGAGCGUUGUCCGGAAUUAUUGGGCGUAAAGAGCUCGUAGGCGGUCUGUCGCGUCGAUCGUGAAAACUUGGGGCUCAACCCUGAGCUUGCGGUCGAUACGGGCAUGACUGGAGUUCGGCAGGGGAGACUGGAAUCCUGGUGUAGCGGUGAAAUGCGCAGAUAUCAGGAGGAACACCGGUGGCGAAGGCAGGUCUCUGGGCCGUUACUGACGCUGAGGAGCGAAAGCGUGGGAGCGAACAGG